rnacentral:rRNA from 1 species
CAGCCGCCGCGGUGAUACGUAGGGAGCAAGCGUUGUCCGGAAUUACUGGGCGUAAAGGGCUCGUAGGUGGUUGAGUAAGUCAGAUGUGAAAUCUCAGGGCCCAACCCUGAGCCUGCAUUUGAUACUGCUCUGACUAGAGUCCGGUAGGGGAGUGCGGAACUCCUGGUGUAGCGGUGAAAUGCGCAGAUAUCAGGAAGAACACCGACAGCGAAGGCAGCACUCUGGGCCGGUACUGACACUGAGGAGCGAAAGCAUGGGUAGCAAACAGGAUUAGAUACCCUGGUAGUCCAUGCCGUAAACGUUGGGCACUAGGUGUGGGGAGAACUCAACUCUCUCCGCGCCGUAGCUAACGCAUUAAGUGCCCCGCCUGGGGAGUACGGCCGCAAGGCUAAAACUCAAAGGAAUUGACGGGGGCCCGCACAAGCGGCGGAGCAUGUUGCUUAAUUCGAGGCAACGCGAAGAACCUUACCUGGGUUGAACUACGUGGGAAAAGCCGCAGAGAUGCGGUGUCCUUCGGGGUCCACGAGAGGUGGUGCAUGGCC